ACUGCCUCUAGGGGCACUGCAGGUGUGGCUAUUGUGUCACAUGUACACUACUAGGUGGCAGAUAGAGGCUAUGCCUACAUUCAGUGUUCUGACCUGUGAACAUCUGAAUGACUAAUAGCCUAACAUU
ensembl:snoRNA Gm24337 small nucleolar RNA SNORA17